rnacentral:rRNA from 1 species
CCCCUACGGGGGGCAGCAGUGGGGAAUCUUCAGCAAUGGGCGCAAGCCUGACGGAGCAAUGCCACGUGAACGAAGAAGGUCUUCGGAUUGUAAAGUUCUGUCCUUAUCGAAGAGAGGGUAUAGAGUGAAAAAUGAUAUACUAGGACGGUAGAUGAGGAGGAAGCCCCGGCUAACUCCGUGCCAGCAGCCGCGGUAAUACGGAGGAUCCGAGCGUUAUCCGGAUUUAUUGGGUUUAAAGGGAGCGUAGGCGGGUUGUUAAGUCAGUUG